UACGUAGGGCGCAAGCGUUAUCCGGAAUUAUUGGGCGUAAAGAGCUCGUAGGCGGUCUGUCGCGUCUGCUGUGAAAACUCAGGGCUUAACCCUGAGCUUGCAGUGGGUACGGGCAGACUAGAGUGCGGUAGGGGAGACUGGAAUUCCUGGUGUAGCGGUGAAAUGCGCAGAUAUCAGGAGGAACACCGGUGGCGAAGGCGGGUCUCUGGGCCGUAACGGACGCUGAGGAGCGAAAGCAUGGGGAGCGAACAGG
rnacentral:rRNA from 1 species